rnacentral:tRNA from 1 species
GAGCCGGUAGCUCAGUUGGUAGAGCACCUGACUUUUAAUCAGGUGGUCGCGGGUUCGACCCCCGCCCGGCUCACCA